ensembl:lncRNA
AGCACCAGGGCUCCGCACAGUGGUGCUGCUACCAGCGAAGAAAGGACUCCCAGCAGCUGGCGGGAGCCACCCACGGCUGUUUGUCAAGGGCCAGCAGGACGCGAAGUGCAGAGGCGCUCAGUAAGUGCCUUGCCACCUCGUAAGUGAACGUUAUACAUGCACCCAGGCCAGGCAGACCGCAGCAAACUCCCAGAGGCCCCUGAAGCAGGUGACCAGGAGUUUGUGGCCAGCAGCGCUGGGAGGAGGUAUCGCUUGGCGCUGGAGUGUCCUGCGGGUUGAGUUCAGUGCUCAGCCUGGGGAGGAAGGAAGAAAGGAAUCAGGAGGAAACAGACAAGCCUGGGGCUAGGGGCCGUGGCAUAGGUCACCUGGCUGGGGUUUGGGACACUGCAGCAACAGGACAAGAGGGGUUGGAUGAGGUGGCACACGCCUGUAAUCCCAGCACUCAGGAGGCUGAGGCAGGAGGACUGCAGUGAGUUCAAGGCCAGCCUGGCCUACAUAGGAGACCCUGUCUCGAAAAAAAAAAAAGAUGGCACAUGUGGGACAGCUUGAUGGUGCCCACCAAGACCUUGUGAGAUCCUGACCCCCAGGACCUGUCAGACCACAGGAUUUAUGACUCCCAGUGCCUGUGACCUUCAGGACUUGUGACCCCUCAGCGCCUGUGACCCGGACUUCGUUAGGAAAACGGAGUCAUUGCAGACAGCCGAGUACAAAGAGGCCUCGGUGGGACCCAUGUGACCGAGUCCUCAACCAGGGGCAACAGGUCCCCAGCAGCCUGCACACCGGGAGAAGCCACCGGAAGAAGCUGCAGCCACAGCGGAGCUGCACAGUCCCAAGGAGCGGCCAGCUGUUUCCUCCGCCUCGUGCACUCUCGGCCCAGGGCUCCCCUCGGACUGGCUGAGCUGCUGGGGAGCGCUGGCACCACAGCUGCGGCAGGGCCAGCUUCCUCACAGGACUCCCCCUCAGGCAGCCUGGUGGCCCCCUGUGACAAGGUGGACACGGCAGGCAGCUCCAUGGGCCUCGAGGGCUCAGCUGCAAAGCACAGGGGGCAACUGGGCCGAGGGACCGCCACCUGCAGGGCGCUGGGCACCAGUGUUCGGGGAGCAUAAAGGAGGAGAGCUCUCGGCACCGGCCCCUGCAGCAGAGAGAGCACGGCCAAGAGGCCGGAAGUGGCCACGCGGGGCUGAGGGAUCGUCCCGGGGAGCCUGAGCGACCCCAGACCCAGGCACAUUUGGGCCAGGCAGCGCAGCCGCAGUCCUCCACGCGAGCAGCACGGCCAGCUCCACACUCCGCGUGACUCAGCAGCGCUGGUGAAUCAGGCCGGACGGCUCACGGGCGUGGCCAGCGCCCCAGGCUGGGGCCAGGCCGCGAUUAGGUCAUCUGCCUGGAAGGCCCCCCCCCCCCCCUGCUGGGAACCGCUCUUCUGCCCCCAGUGUCUCUCUGGGCCUGGCCUCAGGAGACACCUGCCUGGAGACCCGAGGUGGGGGGCGGUCCCGGGGUCCCAGCCCGGCCCUGCUACUGCUCGGUCGGUCGUGUCCUCCAGGAGUCAGAAGAGCCAGACAGACAGCAGGAAGCGGCGGGGCCGCGGGGCCUCACGCCCCGUGGGGUGCAGAGAGGAGAAGCCAGGGCCGCUGUGCGCUCGGGGGAGCUGGCUGCAGGGGUGGGGAGGCGUGCGGGUUGGAGUUGCAGCCUCUGGCCCUGCCUGGGGAGGCAGGCGUGACCUACGAUAGUCCCCUGCACACCUGCACUGCCCCGCAAGAGUGUGGUCAGUGCGCAUGCGCCCCUUUUGCGAGUCUUUUCCCUGUGGAGUGGUCAGAGCUCCGCACCUAUUCCGGAAGUGCACCUGGCCCGGCCUGGAUGCUGCUCACAUCCUCCGGGCCUGCUUUCUCUCUGUCUCUCACACACACAUCAGCUUGUGUGUCUUCCACUCUCCUUUCCUCAUUCGUUAGAAGUUUUAACUUUCACAUAAUCACAUUUGUCGAUCAAUUCCUGUAUAAGAGCUUGGCUCUGAGUGAUCUCAUGCUUGGAAAGGCUCUCCCAAUCUCAAGACAAUCUCUCCCAAUCUCUUCUAACGCUUUAAAGUUUCACUUUUUUUUUUUUAGACAGGGUCUUGCUGUGCAGUUUGGGCUGGCCUUGAACUCACUUGUGUAGUCCAGGCUGGUCUCCACGGUGAUCCUCCUGGCUCAGCCUCCCGAGUGCUGGAAUUACCGGCAGUGGAACCACUGAGCUACAUCCCAGGCCUCUCCUUGAACUCAUAGCAAUUUUCCUGCCUCAGCCUCGGGAGUGCUGGGAUGACAGGUGUGUGCCCUGUGCCUGGCGAGGUCAAGUAACUUCCGGAGUUUGAGCAAUGAGCUGGUGCCUGAGCCACAGGUGGAAGCCGAGUCCGUGGUGUUUGCAGGACAAACUGUGGACAGGAGCCGGUUGGCAGGGCGAGGAGCGGGCAGGAGCCCGCUGGGCCACAGAACGUCAGCUGCACUUUUAAGCCAGUUUUGGCCUACAGACUCGGCCCGGUGACAUGGGCGGCUUUGGCUGCAGCAGGGCGGAGUGCACCCAGAGGAAAGCGACCUGCAGAAGUGCCCAGAACAGGGUGCAGGACAGCGGUGUGUGUGCUGGAGCUCGAGGGGGUGGCAGGGGAUGGCAGGGGCAUUGGGUGACACCCAGGCUCUGCCCUGGGCUCAGGGCCCCCCAUGCCACUGGGGCCAUCCCAGCCUUGCCUCUCUUGACAUGGCCAGGGAUCCCCAGGACCCCCUGAGCCAGACUGAGCCACACCCUCCUGAUUCAACCUUCUCCAGAACCCAGGGGUGCCUUAGCUCUGGAACUGUCCCCACACCCACUGGGCUGUGAAGUCCUGCCCUGCAGCCACCAUGAGCAGAGAGGAAAGGGUGCUGGGAAGCAGGGGAGGGAGCAGGUGAAUAGCCUGGCUUCUGACUCAGUUCUCCUCCCUGGAGGCCCAGUCUGUGAGGACCCACACCCAGCCCAUCUUCCCCAGGCAGAGUGAAUGACCUCAAGCUGAUGGAGGCCAAUCCCAUCAUCUACAGGGGGAAGCCGAGGCCCAGGGAUGCUCAUGACCACCUCCAGCCAAGCGCUGGGCAGAGGGAAUGGGGUGGACCUGCUUGGGAGCCCAUGCAGCCUGGGGUGACCUUCUGUGGCCUUCAUGCCGUGGAGCUGGACACGCAUCACGUCCCAUGGUCCCUCUCGCUGCAGUGCCUCAGGCAGGGCCUGCAUCCAGUCCGGCCUCCUAACCCUCCUGGGCCACUGGGUGGUGGAGCCCGAGUUCCCUUGCAAAGAGCAAGAAGAGAACCCAGGACCAGGGUGCCUGCAGGGCCAGGGCCAGGUGGGGCCAAGGACUUCCUCCGUACCUUUCACAUCUACCACUGUGUGCUUGUCCUGCAGCUUCAGACUCGGAGCAUAUGCUUCUUACAGAGCUACCCAGCCACACCCAGGGCUGGUGGACCUGGGGGCUUUCAUAGCACAGCCCCUGUGGUGCAGCUGGCCUUGAGCCGCAGGCUCGGCGACUGACUACGAAGACAGAGCAGCCUGCCCUCUGUCUCCUCCCAGUCCCGAUGCGGCCUGGGGUUCAUGGGCGGCCCGGGUCCCAGCUCCCCACUUCCCUGCACCCCUGGGUUCGGGCGAUGUGGCCAUCCUUGCCGCCCCUACCCUGUCCAGCUUGGCCCUGUGUCACCACUGUUCUUGGAUAAGACGCAGGGACAGCCGGGAGUGGCUGUCGAUGGGACGUUAAGUGCAUGCCAACCUCUGGGUUUUGUAUAAAGGGCAAAAGAGGGGUGAAUUUUCUGGCGCUAAUAAGGAAAAUCUUGAGGUUGCCAUUAAUGAAUUGGUCUAAUUGUGCUUUCCAAACAUACCCAGCCAGCAGCUGCUUAAAACUUGUCAUUUUUGUAAAUGAAAAGUAUGAAACAUGGAAACUGUAUAUCCAACUGCUGAUUACAAAU